UUGGUAGCACAGAGGAGCUUGCUCCUCGGGUGACGAGUGGCGGACGGGUGAGUAAUGUCUGGGGAUCUGCCCGAUGGAGGGGGAUAACCACUGGAAACGGUGGCUAAUACCGCAUAACGUCGCAAGACCAAAGUGGGGGACCUUCGGGCCUCACACCAUCGGAUGAACCCAGAUGGGAUUAGCUAGUAGGUGGGGUAACGGCUCACCUAGGCGACGAUCCCUAGCUGGUCUGAGAGGAUGACCAGCCACACUGGAACUGAGACACGGUCCAGACUCCUACGGGAGGCAGCAGUGGGGAAUAUUGCACAAUGGGCGCAAGCCUGAUGCAGCCAUGCCGCGUGUAUGAAGAAGGCCUUCGGGUUGUAAAGUACUAUCAGCGGGGAGGAAGGGGACGAGGUUAAUAACCUCGUUCAUUGACGUUACCCGCAGAAGAAGCACCGGCUAACUCCGUGCCAGCAGCCGAAAGUAAUACGGAGGGUGCAAGCGUUAAUCGGAAUUACUGGGCGUAAAGCGCACGCAGGCGGUCUGUUAAGUCAGAUGUGAAAUCCCCGGGCUUAACCUGGGAACUGCAUUUGAAACUGGCAGGCUUGAGUCUUGUAGAGGGGGGUAGAAUUCCAGGUGUAGCGGUGAAAUGCGUAGAGAUCUGGAGGAAUACCGGUGGCGAAGGCGGCCCCCUGGACAAAGACUGACGCUCAGGUGCGAAAGCGUGGGGAGCAAACAGGAUUAGAUACCCUGGUAGUCCACGCCGUAAACGAUGUCGACUUGGAGGCUGUGAGCAUGACUCGUGGCUUCCGGAGCUAACGCGUUAAGUCGACCGCCUGGGGAGUACGGCCGCAAGGUUAAAACUCAAAUGAAUUGACGGGGGGGGGCACAAGCGGUGGAGCAUGUGGUUUAAUUCGAUGCAACGCGAAGAACCUUACCUGCUCUUGACAUCCACGGAAUUUGGCAGAGAUGCCUUAGUGCCUUCGGGAACCGUGAGACAGGUGCUGCAUGGCUGUCGUCACGUGUUGUGAAAUGUUGGGUUAAGUCCCGCAACGAGCGCAACCCUUAUCCUUUGUUGCCAGCGAUUCGGUCGGGAACUCAAAGGAGACUGCCGGUGAUAAACCGGAGGAAGGUGGGGAUGACGUCAAGUCAUCAUGGCUUUUACGAGCAGGGCUACACACGUGCUACAAUGGCGCAUACAAAGAGAAGCGACCUCGCGAGAGCAAGCGGACCUCACAAAGUGCGUCGUAGUAAAGAUCGGAGUCUGCAACUCGACUCCGUGAAGUCGGAAUCGCUAGUAUU
rnacentral:rRNA from 1 species